rnacentral:rRNA from 1 species
UGGGCAACCUGCCCCAGACACUGGGAUAACUCCGGGAAACCGGGGCUAAUACCGGAUACUCUCAGCCGGCCGCAUGACCGGCUGAGGAAAGCUCCGGCGGUCUGGGAUGGGCCCGCGGCCUAUCAGCUUGUUGGUGGGGUCAUGGCCUACCAAGGCGACGACGGGUAGCCGGCCUGAGAGGGCGACCGGCCACACUAGGACUGAGACACGGCCCAGACUCCUACGGGAG